rnacentral:rRNA from 1 species
CACGUAGGGGGCGAGCGUUGUCCGGAAUCAUUGGGCGUAAAGAGCUCGUAGGCGGCUCAGUAAGUCGGGUGUGAAACCCUCAGGCUCAACCUGGGGGACGCCACCCGAUACUGCUGUGGCUAGAGUCCAGUAGGGGAGUGUGGAAUUCCCGGUGUAGUGGUGAUAUGCGUAGAUAUCGGGAGGAACACCUGUGGCGAAGGCGGCUUUCUGGGCCUUACCUGACGCUGAGACGCGAAAGCGUGGGGGAGCGAACCGG